GAAAAGACCUGCGAUGACCCAAAAGGUCAUCUCGUAUUUAGAACCAAAUUCAGAGUUCUGAGACCUUCAAAACCUCAUUUUAUUUCUCCUCUAUUUGCAGGCACAGGCUGGGCACGUUUUCGAGAAGCGUUUAUGUGAAAAUUUGAGAAAAAAUAAUUUUUGACUUUAAAAGUGAUGUUAGUUGAUUUCGGUUAAUAUUUUGAGUGAACGGAUCCGAAUUUGUAUUUUGACGGUCCUAAAGGGUCCGAAGUAAAAUAUGGGACAUGGGCGUAUGCCCGAAAUCAAAUUCCGAGAUCCCUAGCCCGAGAAAU
rnacentral:lncRNA from 1 species